UACGUAGGGGGCAAGCGUUGUCCGGAUUUAUUGGGCGUAAAGAGCGUGUAGGCGGCUAGGUAGGUCCGUUGUGAAAACUCGAGGCUCAACCUCGAGACGCCGAUGGAAACCAUCUAGCUAGAGUCCGGAAGAGGAGAGUGGAAUUCCUGGUGUAGCGGUGAAAUGCGCAGAUAUCGUAAGGAAGACCAGUGGCGAAGGCGGGUCUCUGGACAGUUCCUGACGCUGACGGGCACGAA
rnacentral:rRNA from 1 species